CAGAGGAGGUUGGACAGGCGGUCACGUGCACAGUUUAACCAAUCAGCACAACGUAUCUACAUUUGCGCUUCACAACAAAAACAAAGCCAAGGAAAUCAAAAAGCUUUAGAAUUUGCAUAUUUUUCUCGCUAUGUAUGUAAAUUUUCCUCGAUAGAAAUGCAUAUCUUGGCGCAUUUUGUUUUACUGUUGAAUAUAUUACAUCUUUUGUCGGGUAAGUGUCGAUAUUGUUUUCGUAUCAGUUGUCUCAAUGGGUCCCGUCACUCACACACGUGUAAACAAACCCUGUGUGUGCCAGCGACGUUUAAAUGAAAAAAUAUGUUUUCUCACUUCUCUGAUGUCCAUUAUUUGUCGCCAAUAUUUAAAACAGAUGUCUAAUCUACAACUUUUACCGUUCGCCCCCCGUCGCCCCCAACGCCAUUCACGAAAUAUUACGCUUUUAAUAUGGAUGAUCAUAUCCUCGUACACCACUAUGGCUACGCUAUGAAUCAUCUAGAUACUUCGUAUCCUUGUAGUUAUAUGAUUGUUAAGCUUCAUUAUUAAUAUUAAACGCAAAAUAUCCACAUAUUUUAAGUUUUGUUUUGAGCUAUAUAAGAUCCUAAUUGAUAUUAUAAUACAUGUUUUAGGCAAACAAACAUUGUGUUUAAUGUAGUACCUAUCAAUGUUAAUAUAUAAUAAAAACCUGCAAUAAUGAAGCAUGAACCCUUCUUUGCCUGUAAAAUAUAUUGUACAUUUAUAACUAUAAAAUAUUAAAACUGUAAUGUUGUGAGUCUUAUGUAUACUUCUCAAUUUUCUUCCAUAGUUCAACACCACCUAGUUAUAUUUUAACAAAGUAUAAAUGUCUGAAAGCACCAAGAGUUUUUGUGACAAAUAGGGCAGUGAUCCCCCAGCGUGGU